GGUCUAGCCAUUCAGUGAGUCAGCAGCACAGCUCCUCCAGCACGCAGAGAACAGCGGUCCAUGGAGGGAGGGCGUGAGCCUGGGGUUUUACUGAGGAAGGAUAGUGGGUUUUUCAGUCCCUGAAGCUGCUGCUCUGCCCACUCAGGAAGGUGAGGAAGGCAGACGACAGCGUACAUCCAGCCUCUGCUCUAGGAAAGGAGAGAAGAAAGAAGGAACAGAUUUAGUCCUGCCCAGAAUCUGCACUUCCACGGAGGACGCCAGGAUAUCACGGGAGAGACUGCAGCUCUGAUCAAAUGGGGCGAGCUCUUGGCAGGAGCCAGCAUGUUCCUGUGUUCCAUUUGGGAGGACAGUUUACUUUAAUGAUGUACUUUGAAAUCAGGUGGACGUCUGUAACUCCUGGACCUUUCGCAGCCUUUCCAGCCACGGUCAUCUCUGUGGAGUCAGGGGCAGGGACUUUGGGAUCAGCUUCUGCCCUUGUGAAAACAGCAGAGCAGCCUGAGAGCCAGGAAGGACCUCACCUGAGUAUCAGAUCACCUCAUCAGGCUGAAUUGUGUGGAUCUAGGGAUUUUAAAGAGGUGAUUAAGGUAAAAUGAGGUUAUUAGGGUGGCCCUUGACCCAGUGUGACUGGUAUCCUCAUAAGAGGAGAUUAGGACACAGCCACACAGAGGGACGACCACCUGAGGAUCCCUGAGAAGAUGGCAUCUGGAAGGUGAGGAGAGAGGCCUCAGAAGGAAUCAACUCUGCUGAUACUUGAUGCCAACUUCCAGCCUCUGAAACUGCGA
rnacentral:lncRNA from 10 species